rnacentral:rRNA from 1 species
UACGGAGGGGGCCAGCGUUGUUCGGAAUUAUUGGGCGUAAAGGGCGCGUAGGCGGUCGAGUAAGUCUGACGUGAAAUCCCUUGGCUCAACCAAGGAACUGCGUCUUAAACUGCUCGGCUUGAGUCCGGGAGAGGGUAGUGGAAUCCCCAGUGUAGCGGUGAAAUGCGUAGAUAUUGGGAGGAACACCGGUGGCGAAGGCGGUUCUCUGGGCCUGUACUGACGCUGAGGAGCGAAAGCGUGGGGAGCGAACAGG